UACGAAGGGGGCUAGCGUUGCUCGGAAUUACUGGGCGUAAAGCGCACGUAGGCGGCUUUCUAAGUCGGGGGUGAAAUCCUGGAGCUCAACUCCAGAACUGCCUUCGAUACUGGAGAGCUUGAGUCCGGGAGAGGUGAGUGGAACUGCGAGUGUAGAGGUGAAAUUCGUAGAUAUUCGCAAGAACACCAGUGGCGAAGGCGGCUCACUGGACCGGAACUGACGCUGAGGCGCGAAAGCGUGGGGAGCAAACGGG
rnacentral:rRNA from 1 species